rnacentral:rRNA from 1 species
UCGCAAGAUUAAAACUCAAAUGAUUGACGGGNCCGCACAGCGGUGGAGCAUGUGGUUAAUUCGACGCAACGCGAAGAACCUUACCUACUCUUGACAUCCAGAGAAGACUGCAGAGAUGCGGUUGUGCCUUCGGGAACUCUGAGACAGGUGCUGCAUGGCUGUCGUCAGCUCGUGUUGUGAAAUGUUGGGUUAAGUCCCGCAACGAGCGCAACCCUUAUCCUUAGUUGCCAGCGAUUCGGUCGGGAACUCUAGGGAGACUGCCGGUGAUAAACCGGAGGAAGGUGGGGACGACGUCAAGUCAUCAUGGCCCUUACGAGUAGGGCUACACACGUGCUACAAUGGUAUGUACAGAGGGAGGCAAGCUGGCGACAGUGAGCGGAUCUCUUAAAGCAUAUCGUAGUCCGGAUCGCAGUCUGCAACUCGACUGCGUGAAGUCGGAAUCGCUAGUAAUCGCAAAUCAGAAUGUUGCGGUGAAUACGUUCCCGGGCCUUGUACACACCGCCCGUCACACCAUGGGAGUGGGUUGCAAAAGAAGUAGGUAGCUUAACCUUCGGGAGGGCGCUUACCACUUUGUGAUUCAUGACUGGGGUGAGUCGUAACAAGGUAACC